GUCACGUGGCGGCGCCUCCCCGCAAGGGCGUCUGGGAGGACGACCCCGGCUGGGCCUUUGGCCUACGUGAGUCACGGCUCCCCCGGGACGUUCGUAGUGGACACUUCACGCCUUCCCGGCCGCCGGCAGGCCGGUCACGGUCACCGACGAGGCGGACGCGGGGCCGGAGGAGAUGCGGCGCGGCCAGUGGCCGAGGUGACCGCUGCCCUUUGUCUCGGACGCCCACGGAGGCCGGACUCUGGCAUUGCCGGCGGGGCCGGUCCGGGACCCUCGGCUGGCGUGGACACCGUCAGCUGCUGCGGACCGCGUCGCGAGGCCGAGUUGCCGGAGUUAGAAAUCCCGUCCCUGCGCUGUCAGAUGCUCCAGUUUCAUCCUUUAGGGAUGUUAUGCUCCAAACCAAAAUCGGUUUUGCAUUGAGUGUCAGUAAGGCGUUCAGGUCGUGUGAGGUGCUCACAGUAGUUUCCGAAACAUGUUUCAUUAGUGACGGGAAGGGGUGCAGACCAGGGCACUUCGGUGAGACGCGUUAGUCGCUGAAGCUGCCAUCCGAUCACGGAGACCAAGCCACUUGCCAGGGCCAAGUGAAGUCCUUCCAGGAGGGUGGUUUAUCUGCCCCAGCCUCGGUCACCUGUGGCUGCUGGUUAAGCAGCAAGCCUGGUGUGAGGCUUAUGUCAACUCCAAAACACCGCCUGCCUGGACUUAGAGCCCCCGCUGAUCCCGAGGAAGAAAAUCCCACCUCCACUGCCCGUCACUGGGAGGCCCUGGGAAAGUGCGAGUGUUCUGCCCAAACCCAGCCCACCGUCCCGGACUUUUGCCGGUGUAACCACGUCUCCUCACUCUGAAUCUUAGCCAAACCAGUCCGCUCACCUUUUUUUUUUGGACUGUGCCCAUAUAGAAACACCCGGACCAGGUAUUGAACACCUGCCCCACCCCACCGCUGUACCCAGAGCCACAGCAUUGACAAUGCCAGGUCCUUAACCCACUAGACCACCAGGGAACUCCUCAACUCACUUUUUAAAGAAUGAAAUAAAAGCAACUAACAAAGCCCUAGAGGGUAAAGCCAUCAAUUAGGCCGGGAAGAGAGGCCUAGACGUUGCCAUAGAUGCUUCUAUCUGUAGUUACCACUUAUUGUCAGCCAACAAUGGGCUCUGCUUUGCCUCUUGAAAUCACACUGAAAAAGACCUGAAGAAAACCCUGCAGAGACAUGUAAGGACAUAGGAGCAAGUGCAUUGGCCUCUGGGACAGACAGGUUCCAGUUCUUGGUGUUCCAGCCAGCUUUUUUCUUAAACAUGAAUAUUUGUUGUAUUUAAGACUACUUACUGGUAACAUACCUAGACUAUUGUUUUACACUAGGAUUGAUUCAUUUUUAUUAAUGAUUUUUAUUUUUUCCCUCAUGGUUCCUAGUCAGAUUUGUUUCCACUGAGCCAUGACGGGAACUCCUAUGCAGCCAGCUCUUGAGGCCAUCAUUUGCUUACAGGAAUGGUCACAGAAAAGAGGCUUACCCCUGGGGGUUCAAGGACAUGCCUGCGUCAGUGGAGAGUGGCUGAGGGUAACAGCUGAGUGCAGGUGACAGCCUCCCUUCUGAGAUAUCAAUUGUUGUCUGCCACAGUACCACCUAUAUAGAGCCUUUAGAAAUGCUUUUAAAAUGAUAAAUGACUCAGGUCUGGAAAACAAGAAAAAAAAAGUAUACCCACAGCCUACCACCUUAACUAACGUGCAGUAAUUGCUUCUCUCGUCUGACCUCACACAGGCAGUGCCUGGGCGUCUGACAUCAGCUGUUCAGAGAACACUGGAAAUGGAGGAAAGUCAGGAAGAAAGACUUACCUUCAGGGUGUUUUUUUUGUUUGUUUGUUUUGCUUUCUAGCGCUGCACCUGCGUGUAUGGGAAUUCCUGGGCUAGGGGUCGAAUCAAGCUGCAGCUGCCCGCCUACACCACCGACACAGCCAUGCGGAUCCUUAACCCACUGAGCAAGGCCAGGGAUCGAACCCGCGACCUCGUGGUUCCUGCUCGGAUUCGUUAACCACUGCACCACGACGGGAACUCCGUGAAGUUUUUGCUUUAACAUCCUGAACGUCCUUCCCUGGAACAGGAAGGACUGUUUUACAGAAGAAACCGGUGUGCUGACGAAGGAGCCAAGCACAUCUCCCGGAGUGCGCUGCAUCGCUGAUGCACCAUUAGCCUCAGCUGAGCUGUGUCUGUGACUCGGCAACACACGCACAAGAAAGUAAAAUGCACGGUUCCAACAGGCAGAGACUGGAUUUGCACCCAGGCCCUCUGUUGCACAGUCCCCUCCCCAGAGGUCGCACUCUUCCUGGCUUUUUAGAACCUUCUAGAAAUGUUUUAUGUACAUAAACGCAAGGACAUA
rnacentral:lncRNA from 1 species